GGUAGCUCAGUGGUAGAGCACUUGCUUAGAAUGCACAAGGUCCUGGGUUCUAUCCCCAGUACCA
rnacentral:tRNA from 1 species